rnacentral:rRNA from 1 species
GCUGUCGGCGUGCUUAACACAUGCAAGUCGAACGGAAAGGCCCUGCUUUUGUGGGGUGCUCGAGUGGCGAACGGGUGAGUAACACGUGAGUAACCUGCCCUUGACUUUGGGAUAACUUCAGGAAACUGGGGCUAAUACCGGAUAGGAGCUCCUGCUGCAUGGUGGGGGUUGGAAAGUUUCGGCGGUUGGGGAUGGACUCGCGGCUUAUCAGCUUGUUGGUGGGGUAGUGGCUUACCAAGGCUUUGACGGGUAGCCGGCCUGAGAGGGUGACCGGCCACAUUGGGACUGAGAUACGGCCCAGACUCCUACGGGAGGCAGCAGUGGGGAAUAUUGCACAAUGGGCGGAAGCCUGAUGCAGCAACGCCGCGUGCGGGAUGACGGCCUUCGGGUUGUAAACCGCUUUCGCCUGUGACGAAGCGUGAGUGACGGUAAUGGGUAAAGAAGCACCGGCUAACUACGUGCCAGCAGCCGCGGUGAUACGUAGGGUGCGAGCGUUGUCCGGAUUUAUUGGGCGUAAAGGGCUCGUAGGUGGUUGAUCGCGUCGGAAGUGUAAUCUUGGGGCUUAACCCUGAGCGUGCUUUCGAUACGGGUUGACUUGAGGAAGGUAGGGGAGAAUGGAAUUCCUGGUGGAGCGGUGGAAUGCGCAGAUAUCAGGAGGAACACCAGUGGCGAAGGCGGUUCUCUGGGCCUUUCCUGACGCUGAGGAGCGAAAGCGUGGGGAGCGAACAGGCUUAGAUACCCUGGUAGUCCACGCUGUAAACGGUGGGUACUAGGUGUGGGGUCCAUUCCACGGGUUCCGUGCCGUAGCUAACGCUUUAAGUACCCCGCCUGGGGAGUACGGCCGCAAGGCUAAAACUCAAAGGAAUUGACGGGGCCCCGCACAAGCGGCGGAGCAUGCGGAUUAAUUCGAUGCAACGCGUAGAACCUUACCUGGGUUUGACAUGGAUCGGGAGUGCUCAGAGAUGGGUGUGCCUCUUUUGGGGUCGGUUCACAGGUGGUGCAUGGCUGUCGUCAGCUCGUGUCGUGAGAUGUUGGGUUAAGUCCCGCAACGAGCGCAACCCUUGUUCACUGUUGCCAGCACGUUAUGGUGGGGACUCAGUGGAGACCGCCGGGGUCAACUCGGAGGAAGGUGGGGAUGACGUCAAGUCAUCAUGCCCCUUAUGUCCAGGGCUUCACGCAUGCUACAAUGGCUGGUACAGAGAGUGGCGAGCCUGUGAGGGUGAGCGAAUCUCGGAAAGCCGGUCUCAGUUCGGAUUGGGGUCUGCAACUCGACCUCAUGAAGUCGGAGUCGCUAGUAAUCGCAGAUCAGCAACGCUGCGGUGAAUACGUUCCCGGGGCUUGUACACACCGCCCGUCAAGUCAUGAAAGUUGGUAACACCCGAAGCCGGUGGCCUAACCGUUGUGGGGGAGCCGUCGAAGGUGGGACUGGUGAUUAGG